UACGUAGGGGGCGAGCGUUAUCCGGAUUUACUGGGCGUAAAGCGCGUUAAGGCGGUUGGCGAAGUUGGUUGUGAAAUCUCAGGGCUCAACCCUGAAAUUGCGACCAAUACUGGUCGACUAGAGUGCAAGAGAGGAAGGUGGAAUUCCCGGUGUAGUAGUGAAAUGCGUAGAUAUCGGGAGGAACACCAGUGGCGAAGGCGGCCUUCUGGCUUGUAACUGACGCUGUAGCGCGAAAGCGUGGGGAGCGAACCGG
rnacentral:rRNA from 1 species